UACGUAGGGGGCAAGCGUUAUCCGGAUUUACUGGGUGUAAAGGGAGCGUAGACGGCGAAGCAAGUCUGGAGUGAAAACCCAGGGCUCAACCCUGGGACUGCUUUGGAAACUGUUUUGCUAGAGUGUCGGAGAGGUAAGUGGAAUUCCUAGUGUAGCGGUGAAAUGCGUAGAUAUUAGGAGGAACACCAGUGGCGAAGGCGGCUUACUGGACGAUAACUGACGUUGAGGCUCGAAAGCGUGGGGAGCAAACAGG
rnacentral:rRNA from 1 species